rnacentral:rRNA from 1 species
GAUGAACGCUGGCGGCGUGCCUAAUACAUGCAAGUCGAGCGAACAGACGAGGCGCUUGCUCCUCUGACGUUAGCGGCGGACGGGUGAGUAACACGUGGAUAACCUACCUAUAAGACUGGGAUAACUUCGGGAAACCGGCGCUAAUACCGGAUAAUAUCUUGCACCGCAUGGGUCAAUAGUGAGAGUCGGUGUUGCUGUCACUUAUAGAUGGAUCUGCGCCGCACUAGCUAGUGGGUAAGGUAACGGCCUACUAAGGCAACGAUGCGUAGCCGACCUGAUAGGGUGGUCGGCCACCCUGGAGCGUAGACACGGUCCAGGCGCCUACGGGAGGCAGCAGUAGGCAAUCUUCCGCAGUGGGCGAAAGCCUGACGGAGCAACGCCGCGUGAGUGAUGAAGGUCUUCGGAUCGUAAAACUCUGUUAUUAGUGAAGAACAAAUGUGGAAGUUACUAUGCACUGCGUGACGGUACCUAGUCAGAAAGCCCCGGCUAACUACGUG